rnacentral:lncRNA from 1 species
AUACACUACACACAAUAGGAGAGAGAGAAAGGAGUGUCAGAGGUUAGAGGCAAGUGGGAUCUGGAUCCGCUCAAAGAAGCACACACCAUAACAGAAGGGACACUGCCACCACACGCACACGUUCUUCUAAAGGGAGCUUCAUAGUGAGUGAGAGAGUGUGAGAGUGUGAGUGUGAGAGAUGGUUGAGGUGAGUUGAGAGAGAAAGAAGGUUAAAAUGAGAAUGAUAAGUUCAGUUCUCAACAUAACAUAGUGUUUUUUGCCCAGAACCCCAUAAAAACACAUAAGGAGAACUUGGGCAAUUCGUGUUUCUUCUGUGCUGCUUCUAUCUGCAACUAUGUUAUAAAUAAGGCGGUGGUUUGGCUUUUCUAGUAACUUUGACUACCAUUGUGUUUGAGGUUGAGGCACUGACCAAACCAAAACCAAAGACAGAAACUUUAUCUUUCUUUCAUUCAUGG